AGUGUUGUUGGGUAGGGGAGCGUUCUGUAAGCCUGCGAAGGUGUACUGUGAGGUAUGCUGGAGGUAUCAGAAGUGCGAAUGCUGACAUAAGUAACGAUAAUGCGGGUGAAAAACCCGCACGCCGGAAGACCAAGGGUUCCUGUCCAACGUUAAUCGGGGCAGGGUGAGUCGACCCCUAAGGCGAGGCUGAAAAGCGUAGUCGAUGGGAAACGGGUUAAUAUUCCCGUACUGGUGGUAACUGCGAUGGGGGAACGGAGAAGGCUAGGUUGUCCGGGCGACGGUCGUCCCGGUUCAAGCAGGUAGGCAGAGUGAUUAGGCAAAUCCGGUCACUUAAUGCUGAGAUGUGAUGACGAACCACCAAGGUGGUGAAGCAAUUGAUGCCCCGCUUCCAGGAAAAGCCUCUAAGCUUCAGGUUACCAACAAUCGUACCCCAAACCGACACAGGUGGUCAGGUAGAGAAUACUCAGGCGCUUGAGAGAACUCGGGUGAAGGAACUAGGCAAAAUGGUGCCGUAACUUCGGGAGAAGGCACGCUGGCGGUAGGUAAAGUCCCUUGCGGACGGCGCUGAAGCCAGUCGAAGAUACCAGCUGGCUGCAACUGUUUAUUAAAAACACAGCACUGUGCAAACACGAAAGUGGACGUAU
rnacentral:rRNA from 1 species